GACGAACGCUGGCGGCGUGCUUAACACAUGCAAGUCGAACGAUGAAGCCGGAGCUUGCUCUGGUGAAUUAGUGGCGAACGGGUGAGUAACACGUGAGUAACCUGCCCUUGACUCUGGGAUAACUGCGGGAAACUGUAGCUAAUACCGGAUACGACCCUCGGAGGCAUCUCCUGGGGGUGGAAAGAAUUUCGGUCAAGGAUGGACUCGCGGCCUAUCAGCUAGUUGGUGAGGUAAAGGCUCACCAAGGCGACGACGGGUAGCCGGCCUGAGAGGGUGCCUGGGCACACUGGGACUGGGACACGGCCCAGACGCCUACGGGAGGCAGCAGUGGGGAAUAUUGAACAAUGGGCGCAAGCCUGAUGCAGCAACGCCGCGUGAGGGAUGACGGCCUUCGGGUUGUAAACCUCUUUUAGCAGGGAAGAAGCGAAAGUGACGGUACCUGCAGAAAAAGCACCGGCUAACUACGUGCCAGCAGCCGCCGCAG
rnacentral:rRNA from 1 species